rnacentral:ncRNA from 1 species
AAGAAAGCAAAGAAGAGGAAAGUAGACGAUACAAAUUGUUUCAGAGAGCUACCCCGUGGCUGUGAGGGUGGUAACAAUUAUAUCGAUUGAAGAUCACCUCAGAGUACUACUCACGAAAGGAAACAAGUAGGGGGUAGCGGAGUUGUUCCCGGUAGAAGAACAAAAGUCUAAUUCGGACUUACAGAGCUUAUAUUUCGCGAGAAGUAUAAGGAAGCUGAGUGGUACCACGAUUCCCUCGUCUCAGCA